GAGCCAAGAACACAAGGUACAAGUGGAGCCCAAGAGUGACCAGGCUACCCUACAGGUUCCCGUCAUCUCUCUAUCUAGGCAGGCACUGAUGCCAGCACACAGUCAACCAGCCAGCCAGUCAGCCAGCCAGCAGCGUCUAGUGUAUUCUCUACCUGCUUCACUCCCUUCACAGACCUAGCCAGGACAUGGUGAGGACCAAGGAGAAUAGUGAACGUGCUGGUAAAAGGGACAGCUGUCUCAUCCCUGCAAGGCCAAAUUCGGCCUGCUGUUGCCAGGAACGACACUUCCCCCCUUUUGAGAGAGUGGAAACAUCUGGUCACCCACAAAGCACAUCAUGCCAGCCAACACAAGACCAGGAACAGAAGCAGACCAACGCUGUUGACAUCAGCUAACUACACGCCAGCCACUCUCCAGGCACGCUGGAAGGACACUUCACCGGUGACUAAGAUCACUCCACAAGACUGACGUGACACUAUCAGUGACAUUAGCUAUUAGGCUACUGUGGGACACUGGUCCGGCUGACAUCCAUUGAUAGAGUGUACCCAAACCAAGAGCAAGGAUGCUAACUCAGAAGGACUAAACCACACUUGUGUCUGUCUAAGACAUCAGAUAAAUCCCACACUCCGAGGUCUUUCUUAUGGAAUCAAAACAAAAUAGCUACACUUGUUUAGACGUGAAUGUAUACCUUUCAUUUUGUAUGUCUAUGAUACUGUCAAAAGGAUACAUUGUAAAACUACUACUAGUAUUAUAAGAAAUGCUGCUAUCCCCGAGGGUAUAGACAUUGGUAUGACUCUCCAAAGAGGAGGAGAUCGAAAACUUUCACUCAUAGCAUAGAUCUGAUACCUCGGACAACAAAAAGGGAGGUGCCAGGCAGAAAAUGCUACACAGGCAGGUUUAAUGGACAGAUGAUCCUGAUGUGACUCUGGAAAAAAGGGAUGAGAGAUCAGCCAAAAUGCACUCUGAAACCUGUCA
rnacentral:lncRNA from 1 species